rnacentral:rRNA from 1 species
AUUGAACGCUGGCGGCGUGCCUAACACAUGCAAGUCGAACGGAGAUUUCAUUUAUGAAAUCUUAGUGGCGAACGGGUGAGUAACGCGUAGACAACCUACCUUCUAGCUGGGGACAACACUGCGAAAGUGGUGCUAAUACCGAAUGUUGUAUUUGUGGUGCAUACUAUAGAUACUAAAGGUGGCCUCUAUUUAUAAGCUAUCACUAGAAGAUGGGUCUGCGUCUGAUUAGCUAGUUGGUGAGGUAAUGGCUCACCAAGGCGACGAUCAGUAGCCGGUCUGGGAGGAUGAACGGCCACACUAGGACUGAGACACGGCCCAGACUCCUACGGGAGGCAGCAGUGGGGAAUAUUGGUCAAUGGGCGCAAGCCUGAACCAGCCAUGCCGCGUGAAGGAUGACGGCCCUAGUGGUUGUAAACUUCUUUUGUAAUAGAGAAAACUUGGGUACGUGUACCCAACUGAUAGUACAUUACGAAUAAGGAUCGGCUAACUCCGUGCCAGCAGCCGCCGUAAUAC